UGCUGGAGGUAUCAGAAGUGCGAAUGCUGACAUAAGUAACGAUAAAGCGGGUGAAAAGCCCGCUCGCCGGAAGACCAAGGGUUCCUGUCCAACGUUAAUCGGGGCAGGGUGAGUCGACCCCUAAGGCGAGGCCGAAAGGCGUAGUCGAUGGGAAACGGGUUAAUAUUCCCGUACUUGGUGUUACUGCGAAGGGGGGACGGAGAAGGCUAUGUUGGCCGGGCGACGGUUGUCCCGGUUUAAGCGUGUAGGCUGGUUUUCCAGGCAAAUCCGGAAAAUCAAGGCUGAGGCGUGACGACGAGGCACUACGGUGCUGAAGCAACAAAUGCCCUGCUUCCAGGAAAAGCCUCUAAGCAUCAGGUAACAUCAAAUCGUACCCCAAACCGACACAGGUGGUCAGGUAGAGAAUACCAAGGCGCUUGAGAGAACUCGGGUGAAGGAACUAGGCAAAAUGGUGCCGUAACUUCGGGAGAAGGCACGCUGACAUGUAGGUGAAGUGAUUUACUCAUGGAGCUGAAGUCAGUCGAAGAUACCAGCUGGCUGCAACUGUUUAUUAAAAACACAGCACUGUGCAAACACGAAAGUGGACGUAUACGGUGUGACGCCUGCCCGGUGCCGGAAGGUUAAUUGAUGGGGUCAGCGCAAGCGAAGCUCCUGAUCGAAGCCCCGGUAAACGGCGGCCGUAACUAUAACGGUCCUAAGGUAGCGAAAUUCCUUGUCGGGUAAGUUCCGACCUGCACGAAUGGCGUAAUGAUGGCCAGGCUGUCUCCACCCGAGACUCAGUGAAAUUGAACUCGCUGUGAAGAUGCAGUGUACCCGCGGCAAGACGGAAAGACCCCGUGAACCUUUACUAUAGCUUGACACUGAACAUUGAGCCUUGAUGUGUAGGAUAGGUGGGAGGCUUUGAAGCGUGGACGCCAGUCUGCGUGGAGCCGACCUUGAAAUACCACCCUUUAAUGUUUGAUGUUCUAACGUGGACCCGUGAUCCGGGUUGCGGACAGUGUCUGGUGGGUAGUUUGACUGGGGCGGUCUCCUCCUAAAGAGUAACGGAGGAGCACGAAGGUUGGCUAAUCCUGGUCGGACAUCAGGAGGUUAGUGCAAUGGCAUAAGCCAGCUUGACUGCGAGCGUGACGGCGCGAGCAGGUGCGAAAGCAGGUCAUAGUGAUCCGGUGGUUCUGAAUGGAAGGGCCAUCGCUCAACGGAUAAAAGGUACUCCGGGGAUAACAGGCUGAUACCGCCCAAGAGUUCAUAUCGACGGCGGUGUUUGGCACCUCGAUGUCGGCUCAUCACAUCCUGGGGCUGAAGUAGGUCCCAAGGGUAUGGCUGUUCGCCAUUUAAAGUGGUACGCGAGCUGGGUUUAGAACGUCGUGAGACAGUUCGGUCCCUAUCUGCCGUGGGCGCUGGAGAACUGAGGGGGGCUGCUCCUAGUACGAGAGGACCGGAGUGGACGCAUCACUGGUGUUCGGGUUGUCAUGCCAAUGGCACUGCCCGGUAGCUAAAUGCGGAAGAGAUAAGUGCUGAAAGCAUCUAAGCACGAAACUUGCCCCGAGAUGAGUUCUCCCUGAGACUUUAGGUCUCCUGAAGGAACGUUGAAGACGACGACGUUGAUAGGCCGGGUGUGUAAGCGCAGCGAUGCGUUGAGCUAACCGGUACUAAUGAACCGUGAGGCUUAACCUUACAACGCCGAAG
rnacentral:rRNA from 1 species